GUUGCCCAGGCCUGUUAUAACCCCUUAGACAAUGGAACCCCUGGAGUUGCCCAGGCCUGUUAUAACCCCUCCCUUAAACAAUGGAGACCCCCAACACCUUAGUCCCACCUUUGCCGUCAUGAGGCAGGACCUCACAGCAGCCUUGCCCUAAUGCAACCCCCCAGUCACUGACCUCACUGACUAGCUUCUGUCAUGUUUCAGUGUUGAGGUUUCUUCAGUGUUGAGGUUACUUCUACCAUGUUUCAGUGUUGAGGUUUCUUCAGUGUUGAGGUUUCUUCUACCAUGUUUCAGUGUUGAGGUUACUUCUGUCAUGUUUCAGUGUUGAGGUUUCUUCAGUGUUGAGGUUUCUUCAGUGUUGAGGUUACUUCUACCAUGUUUCAGUGUUGAGGUUUCUUCAGUGUUGAGGUUACUUCUGUCAUGUUUCAGUGUUGAGGUUUCUUCUACCAUGUUUCAGUGUUGAGGUCACAGCAGCACAGUAGCAGCUCAGUAGUGGACAGAACUACGGUCAACAGUUGGUGUAUGCUGAUGUUAGUGAUUGGACUGCCAGUGAUUACCAUAAGCAAUUUAAAUGUUAUUGAUUUCAUCUCCCUUCUGCACCAUGUAAUUGAACACCCAGGACAAGCCCCCUCCGCCCCACCUCUCUCUCUCUUUUGGUUGUCUUCCUCUUUCUAUUUCUUUCUUUCUUUCUCCCUCUCUCAAGCCCAAACAGCUUCUCCCCUGCAUCCCUCCUUCCAUACAUGUUUCUAUCUUUCUUCCUCUCUCUCUCUCUCUCUCUCUCUCUCUCUCUCUCUCUCUCUCUCUGUCUCUCUCUCUCUGUCUCUCUCUCUCUGUCUCUCUCUCUCUCUCUCUCUCUCUCUCUGUCUCUCUCUCUCUCUCUCUCUGUCUCUCUCUCUCUCUCUCUCUCUCUCUCUCUCUCUCUCUCUCUCUCUCUCUCUCUCUCUCUCUCUCUCUCUCUCUCUCUCUCUCUCUCUCUCUCU